rnacentral:rRNA from 1 species
UACGUAGGGACCGAGCGUUGUCCGGAAUCAUUGGGCGUAAAGAGCGUGUAGGCGGCCUUUUAAGUCCUGCGUGAAAUCCUGCGGCUCAACCGCAGACGGUCGUGGGGAAACUGGAAGGCUAGAGUGCGGGAGAGGUGAGUGGAAUUCCCAGUGUAGAGGUGAAAUUCGUAGAUAUUGGGAAGAACACCAGUGGCGAAGGCGGCUCACUGGCCCGUAACUGACGCUGAGGUGCGAAAGCGUGGGGAGCAAACAGG